ACCCUCUGCUCAGCCAGCUUCUGGUUCAGCUCGUCCAGCUGGAUGGUGGCCUCCUUCAGCUUGUCCAGCCCGCCCUCCAGGCGCUUGCACUGAGCUGAGGACAGACGGCACCCGUUCACUGUCCCCACGCCUGCUCCCUGUGGCCCAGGCUUGCCUUCUGUGGCCUCCCUGAGGUUCAUCCAACUUGGGUUCAUCAGGGGGAACCAUUCACUUUCACAUAGUGUCACUAUGUUCCAGUCCCUCCUGCACGGGCACGGCAUGGGCCCAAAUGAACUCAGGAAGAGGAGACCUGGAUCCCUACACCUGAGCAUUGCGACAUCAGGCGACCAGCCAUCCCCAAGCCUUACCUAUGUUAAACUGAGUCUUCUCAUCCAGCAACUUCGAAAAGAAAAGAGCAAUUAUAAUGAGUGGGUGGCUCUUCUGGACCACUGAGCCAGGCUCCAGCAACAUGCCUCAAACAGAGAGCCACACCUCUUCCCUGGGCGCCGUGGCAGCACGCAUCGGGGAGCACGCCACACCUGUCCUGCUCGAUGCUCCCCAGGGAGCAACCUCUUGCGGCCAGGUGAGCUACUCAGCCCUUCUCUGCUGGAUACCCAGCGCGCGGACCUACUGGGCAAAAGGCAGCCUUCCUGUCAACCUGCUAGAAGAAUCACUGCAAGAAGCACCCUCUUGAAGACAGAAUACACCUCUCGUUCAAGCAAAGGGAGGAGAGUGGACAAAAACAUCAGCUGUCGGGGUUCUGCAGACCCAACCUUGGGUUAUACCAGGGGUACUGCCUGCAGGAAAGACGCAGCCUGACAAAUAUCCACUUUGGGGCAUAGUCAUCUCGAUACCAGGAAACACAUUCUAAGGAAAAUAAUUCUAAGCAAAUUCUAGGCAGCAUUAUUAAAGACACUGAAUGCUGAAAGCAAGCCCAAGUGAUAACACUUGAGAAUGACUAACACACUUAUGAAAACCAGGGUGCACUACAUCAGGGUGCUCAUCUACAGCCCAGAAGGGAAAUCUGGCCCACACCCCGCUUUUUAAAUAAAGUUUUAUUGGAACACA